GACUGGCUGUGUAGCCACACCCUGUAUUGUGGAUCAACCAAUCACAGAGGCUACCUUCAACUUUACUUGGAAAUCCCAUCAUCCUGAUUACUGCCACUGCCUUCUCGAGACUGUCUCUUCACCUCAGAUAGCAUUCUCUUACGUUCCUGAUUGUACUACUGGGACAUGAUAACUCUCGAUCUAGCUGCUUGCCUAUCCUGGCAUCCCAUAUUAGGAGCAGACUACCAGCUUCCAUAGGAGCUAUUCCUCAAGGCCUCAUGUGUUGGAGACUGAGUGGCCAGCUGAUAUGCUCGGAGGAUGCGAUAGGAUCCUGAGGGCUCUGACCUAAUCAAUGGAUUAAUU
rnacentral:lncRNA from 1 species